rnacentral:rRNA from 1 species
CACGUAGGGGCCAAGCGUUGUCCGGAUUUAUUGGGCGUAAAGAGCUCGUAGGCGGUUGGGUAAGUCGGGUGUGAAAACUCCAGACUCAACUUGGAGACGCCACCCGAUACUGCUCUGACUUGAGUUCGGUAGGGGAGUGGGGAAUUCCUAGUGUAGCGGUGAAAUGCGCAGAUAUUAGGAGGAACACCGGUGGCGAAGGCGCCACUCUGGGCCGAAACUGACGCUGAGGAGCGAAAGCCAGGGGAGCAAACGGG